rnacentral:rRNA from 1 species
GGCGGACGGGUGAGUAACGCGUGGGAACGUGCCCUUUUCUUCGGAAUAGCCCUGGGAAACCGGGGGUAAUGCCGGAUACGCCCGCCCAUCGGGAGAUGGGAUGGGGAAAGAUUUAUCGGGGAAGGAUCGGCCCGCGUUGGAUUAGGUAGUUGGUGGGGUAACGGCCCACCAAGCCGACGAUCCAUAGCUGGUUUGAGAGGAUGAUCAGCCACACUGGGACUGAGACACGGCCCAGACUCCUACGGGAGGCAGCAGUGGGGAAUCUUGGACAAUGGGGGCAACCCUGAUCCAGCCAUGCCGCGUGAUCGAUGAAGGCCUUAGGGUUGUAAAGAUCUUUCAGCUGGGAAGAUAAUGACUGUACCAGCAGAAGAAGCCCCGGCUAACUCCGUGCCAGCAGCCGCGGUAAUACGGAGGGGGCUAGCGUUGUUCGGAAUUACUGGGCGUAAAGCGCACGUAGGCGGACCAGCCAGUCAGGGGUGAAAUCCCGGGGCUCAACCCCGGAACUGCCUUUGAUACUGUUGGUCUGGAGGUCGAGAGAGGUGAGUGGAAUUCCGAGUGUAGAGGUGAAAUUCGUAGAUAUUCGGAGGAACACCAGUGGCGAAGGCGGCU